UUUUUUUUUGGUGAGUGAUGAUAUUGAAACAAGAUUAUCGAUUGUAUAAAGUUUUAAAUGGAAAUGUCUAAAUACUUGGAUCGAAUAAUCGGCAGGAGGAGGUUAUUCUACGUGCAAAAAGAUCCAUUCUUCGCGAAAUCUUGACGAAAUCACCAAAUCAACGAUGCUCUAUAAAUCCUAACCUAACAAAUCGUGAAAACUUGGUUCGUUUUUUUAAAAAAUCUCUGUUCGGAUCGAAGAGAAACGACAAAACGAAACAGA